rnacentral:tRNA from 1 species
GGAUUAUGGCUCAGUGGUAAAGCACUUGCCUAGCAUGUAUGAGGCACUGUGUUCAAGCCUCAGCACCA